rnacentral:miRNA from 1 species
UAUGUGUAUGUGUAUGUGUGUGUGCAUGUGUGUAUAUAUGUAUGUAUGUAUACACACAUACAUACACACCUACACUACA